rnacentral:piRNA from 1 species
UCUGCACAUACAAUUUUCUUUUAU